rnacentral:rRNA from 1 species
CCUACGGGGGGCUGCAGUGGGGAAUAUUGGACAAUGGGCGAAAGCCUGAUCCAGCCAUGCCGCGUGUGUGAAGAAGGCCUUCGGGUUGUAAAGCACUUUCAGUGGGGAAGAAAGCCUUGGGGCUAAUACCCUCGAGGAAGGACAUCACCCACAGAAGAAGCACCGGCUAACUCCGUGCCAGCAGCCGCGGUAAUACGGAGGGUGCGAGCGUUAAUCGGAAUUACUGGGCGUAAAGCGCGCGUAGGCGGUCUGAUAAGCCGGUUGUGAAAGCCCCGGGCUCAACCUGGGAACGGCAUCCGGAACUGUCAGGCUAGAGUGCAGGAGAGGAAGGGAGAAUUCCCGGUGUAGCGGUGAAAUGCGUAGAGAUCGGGAGGAAUACCAGUGGCGAAGGCGGCCUUCUGGACUGACACUGACGCUGAGGUGCGAAAGCGUGGGUAGCAAACAGGAUUAGAUACCCCUGUAGUC